AGCGAACGCUGGCGGCAUGCCUAACACAUGCAAGUCGAACGAGACCUUCGGGUCUAGUGGCGCACGGGUGCGUAACGCGUGGGAAUCUGCCCUUGGGUGCGGAAUAACAGUUAGAAAUGACUGCUAAUACCGCAUAAUGACUCCGGUCCAAAGAUUUAUCGCCCAGGGAUGAGCCCGCGUCGGAUUAGCUAGUUGGUAGGGUAAAAGCCUACCAAGGCAACGAUCCGUAGCUGGUCUGAGAGGAUGAUCAGCCACACUGGGACUGAGACACGGCCCAGACUCCUACGGGAGGCAGCAGUGGGGAAUAUUGGACAAUGGGCGAAAGCCUGAUCCAGCAAUGCCGCGUGAGUGAUGAAGGCCUUAGGGUUGUAAAGCUCUUUUACCCGGGAUGAUAAUGACAGUACCGGGAGAAUAAGCCCCGGCUAACUCCGUGCCAGCCGCCGCGGUAAGAC
rnacentral:rRNA from 1 species